CACAGAAAAGAAUUUAACUCAUGUGAAGGAUAACUGAUACCGUCACCGCUUGGCUAUGAAGCAGUUCUCUGCAUUUCUUCAAUAGACUUGUGCUAUCCCCAAGAUUUUUGUGAUGCUGGUUAGCUGUGUAUUCUAACUGGCUUGGUGACUCACACGUCCUGUGUACUGAUGAAACUACUGACUCAGCUGGUCUGAAGGACCCCAGGAGGAGCUGACUCAUCAAAUAAUGCAUUUUUCAC